UUGCUUUGGCGGCACAUAUACUAAAACUGGAAAAAUACAGAGAAGAUUAGCAUAGUCCCUGAACAAAGAUGACAUGCAAAUUCAUGAAGCAUUCCAUAGAUUU
ensembl:snRNA U6 U6 spliceosomal RNA